CAUAUUUCUCUUUGGUAUCUAUACUUGUAUGGCAAGCAGCCAGGGUAUUUUGUCUGCUCAACAAACAUAAAAUACCUCACUAAUCAUGAAAAUGGCUGAAGCGUUCUUUACUUCAGGACAUGGAAGAAUAUGAAAGAUUGUUGUAAGAUGAUAUAUUUCUUUAUGUUACAUUUGAACACAGUGCACCAUGUACAGUAUAUGUGCUGCAGGUGUGAGAAAGACGACAGCGAUAGCAGCAGAGACAGGAAGUGGCGCUGGGGAGGCAGGCAGUGGUGUGAGUGAGGCUUCCUCAAAACCCCAGGAGAACACGUAAAUGACAGAAGAUACUGCAGCCACCAUACUUACCCAGGUUAAGAACAGCAGUAGAGAAGGUGUAGAAAACUUGGCAGAUACUUCAGGACAUCUUCAGGCAGCAUUUCUAUCAAUUUGUCAAUCUCAUCUGCUCAGAGGAUAACCGUUUAUAAGACAUGUUAUACAGUGUGUAUUGACAUUGACUCCAAACGUUGGGUCAAAACCUUUCAGAACUUCUUUCAGUUCUCUUUGCUCAACGGCAAAAUGACAUCAAAAUACAUAAUGCCUGGGCAUAUUAUUGAACAUCGAUUUAAAUGUCUUUUCCAGCGUCGUGGAAUGAUGGACUAAAUACCUGGAUGCACUGAUUAUUGCAGAGACCGAUAGCAAUAUCUAGUCAACUAUCACCUGUUUAACAAAAAGUCUUAUGUGAGUUUUGAGGAUAAAUCCAACGCGAGUCUCAUUGAUAGACUGUAUUAUAAUAUAUUUAUUGCCCCAUUGGUAACUGAUUUAAGUUGCUAUUACGUUUUUGUGAAGGAGGAGUCGUUUGGUGAUUUAGGUUCUAUAAUAGGCCCACAAUAACUGGAAUUGACUGGAAUAUUUGUAAUAUUGUUUAUAUCAAGUUGUCAAAUUUAAUAUGUUAAAUUUCACGAACGGGCAUGUUUGUGUUCAUUUAAAAGGAGAAAUUACGUUAAAGGCCAAUGGCGUUUCAGAUCAUUGUUCACCUUUCCGUGUAUUUUACAUGCACGAUAACUAAUUUCCUUAGAUUAUUUAAAGUAGAAUA